rnacentral:rRNA from 1 species
GAUGAACGCUGGCGGCGUGCCUAAUACAUGCAAGUCGAGCGAACAGAUGAGGAGCUUGCUCCUCUGACGUUAGCGGCGGACGGGUGAGUAACACGUGGAUAACCUACCUAUAAGACUGGGAUAACUUCGGGAAACCGGAGCUAAUACCGGAGAAUAUAUUGAACCGCAGGGUUCAAUAGUGAAAGACGGUUUUGCUGUCACGUAUAGAGGGAUCUGAGCCGCAUUAGCUGGUUGGUAAGGUAACGGCCUACGAAGGGAACGAUGCGUAUGCGACCUGAGAGAGUGAUCGGCCACACUGGAACUUGACCACCGUCCAGACUCCUACGGGACGCAGCAGUAGGGAAUGUGCCGCAGUGGGCGAAAGCCUGACGGAGCAACGCCGCGUGAGUGAUGAAGGUCUUCGGAUCGUAAAACUCUGUUAUUAGGGAAGAACAAAUGUGUAAGUAACUAUGCACGUCUUGACGGUACCUAAUCAGAAAGCCACGGCUAACUACGUG